rnacentral:tRNA from 2 species
AGCGGAUAUAGUCGAUGACGACCUGCCGGUUCUCGUCCGGCGAAGCGAGAAUGAUCCGUUUGCCGUCCGGAUUGGCGAACUUGCUG